GGCAAGAAGGAGAAAGGUAGGGGAAAAAAAAAAGAGAAGAGGAAGUUUCCCAAAUCUCCCAAACUUUGAUUUCAACCAAAACAAACCCAAAACAAAAAUACCCAAAUUGUCUUUUGAACUCUCUUUCUCUUCAAUUCUUUUACGUUUUGCUUCAAUGAACUGAAACAAUUAAUAUGGUUUUACUCACUUAACCAGAAAAGAAAAGAAAAGAAAUAAAAAA